rnacentral:tmRNA from 1 species
GGGAGCGUAAAGGUUUCGACAGGGAGUGUGAGCUACGGCAAGCGAGCAGCGGCACUGCAGAACCGCUAUAAAAUCCGCAGACAUAAAAAUAACUGACAACAGAACUAAUGUUGCCAUCGCUGCUUAAUUAGCAGCGGUCGUUCUCUUGGGAAGCACCACGAUCCCAUGAGGGCGUCGAUUAGUGGUGAACGUGAACAGAGGUUUGUCUUGCCCUUUGUCAUGAAACAGAGACUACCGAAGCACAGAGUCCGCUGCCGGACGCUGUGAUGGGGGAAUCCCAAUACGGCAGCUGCGCUCGGAGAAAACCGUAGUAAGUGCUUUUUGGACAGGGGUUCGACUCCCCUCGCUUCCA